rnacentral:rRNA from 1 species
UACGUAGGGGGCAAGCGUUGUCCGGAAUUAUUGGGCGUAAAGCGUGCGCAGGCGGUUUUGUAAGUCUGUCGUGAAAGCCCCGGGCUUAACCUGGGAAUUGCGAUGGAGACUGCAAGGCUUGAAUCUGGCAAAGGGGGGUAGAAUUCCACGUGUAGCAGUGAAAUGCGUAGAGAUGUGGAGGAACACCGAUGGCGAAGGCAGCCCCCUGGGUCAAGAUUGACGCUCAUGCACGAAAGCGUGGGGAGCAAACAGG